CGCGGAGAUUGAGCUAUGGUGCGCUCUGAGGUCUCAUAAGCCUUCACGUACCGGGUUCAAAUCCCGGCUCCGCUAC
rnacentral:tRNA from 1 species